ACUCCUACGGGAGGCAGCAGUGGGGAAUAUUGCACAAUGGGCGCAAGCCUGAUGCAGCCAUGCCGCGUGUAUGAAGAAGGCCUUCGGGUUGUAAAGUACUUUCAGCAGUGAGGAAGGUGGGUAUGUUAAUAGCAUACUCAUUUGACGUUAGCUGCAGAAGAAGCACCGGCUAACUCCGUGCCAGCAGCCGCGGUAAUACGGAGGGGUGCGAGCGUUAAUCGGAAUUACUGGGCGUAAAGCGCAUGCAGGUGGUUUGUUAAGUCAGAUGUGAAAGCCCGGGGCUCAACCUCGGAAUUGCAUUUGAAACUGGCAAACUAGAGUACUGUAGAGGGGGUAGAAUUUCAGGUGUAGCGGUGAAAUGCGUAGAGAUCUGAAGGAAUACCGGUGGCGAAGGCGGCCCCCUGGACAGAUACUGACACUCAGAUGCGAAAGCGUGGGGAGC
rnacentral:rRNA from 1 species